rnacentral:rRNA from 1 species
CCGCGGUAAAACCGGUUACUCCUACGGGAGGCAGCAGUGGGGAAUUUUGCGCAAUGGGGGAAACCCUGACGCAGCAACGCCGCGUGGAGGAUGAAGUCCCUUGGGACGUAAACUCCUUUCGAUCGGGACGCGGUACCGGAAGAAGAAGCCCCGGCUAACUUC